rnacentral:rRNA from 1 species
CCCCGGUGAAUAUGUUCCUGAGCCUUGUACACACCGCCCGUCAAGCCACGAAAGCUGGGGUACCCGAAGUCGCCACAAGCGCCCACGGUAAACCAGUGAUUGGGACU